ensembl:lncRNA
GUGAUCACAUCACCGUGAGUGCCCAGGAGGGGCAGGUCUACAAGGUUCUGCAGAGACACAUCUGGAGAAAUGGCUGGAGGAUAUGACCUUUGAGUACAACAGCCCCGUCGGUUUGACCCUGAAGUGCCACAGUGCUCCCCGUCCGUCUGCAAAGUCGGCCCUUUCGUAGAUCCUGGUACAAAAUGGCAUGAAUUUGGCUCUUGCUAGGUCAAAUGCCUCAUUCAGUUGUCUUACCUAGAAUGUCUCAUUUAAUUCUCCAUGACGCCUUUGUGAGAUAGGUGGGGAAAAUCAGCUUUAUCUUGCAGACUAAGAAACGGAAAUUCAGUGAGAUUAAAUGACUUGCCCAAGGUCACAGAGGCAAGGCUUAAGCCAUGUGUCCCCUGCCUGUCUCCUCCGGACUGACCCCGGACCCUGUUGUAGAGGAGACUCAAGUAGGUUUCCCGGCUUCACAGACUCAGGAAAGAAAGUGGACAGAGCCACGAACCUCCUCCUGGCGGGUUGACGUCAAGACAGUGGCUCUGCUAGGCUCUCUCUAAGCGACCUCGGGCAGGUCUCAUGCUCUCGCAGGCCUCAGCCUUCUCCCCUGUAAAAGGAAGGGCUUGGGUUAAGACCCUAAGAGUCUUUCCAGCUUUGAUGUAGGAUUCUGUGGUGUCAAAAAUAAGAGAGAUUGUAUUAUUGUGGAUUGAAAAAUAAUGAUCUUUUAUGCUCCACAUGUAACUUUCUACUUCUCAGCUACCUGUUAUACAGUGUUAACGCCGCCUCAUAUAUCAGACACUGUUGUAAUAAGUAUGCAAUUUGUGGCUGCAAUUUCCAUUUUAUGGCAAUAUCUGACUUACACGAGGUGUUUUUAAAGUGUGUCACUUGUAAUGUAUGUACCCGCCGAGAGCCUGCUCUUUCAUAAUGACUUUCCAGCGAGGUCAGAGAAAGUGUCCAAAUUUAAGUAAACAAAUAGCAGGCAAGUUUUAGCACUAAAGCCUCCUGCCCACCUGGGGAGGGACGCUGCAUCCCCGAGGAGGACAGCGGCAACUCUCCCAUAUUCUGUCACAAAGAGCUUCUGGCUAGGUGGGUCAAGAUUAUAGAAACUUUUCUGACAGGUGCUCUCAAACGCUGAUUGGGGAGGGAGGAGCUGUUCAGAAACCUCUGUAUUCACUAGGUGAAGGAGCCAUUAUAGGUCAAUUUGCCAAAAAUCAGUUAACUGAGAAUUAAUUCAUCAAAUGCCCAGUUCAUUGAGUGUCCAAUUUGUUGACUGAUCAUUUUGAUAAGAUUUUUAAGGCAAAUAUUUGAAGGGCAGGCACAGGUUGAGAAGCAGGGGCAUCUAGAAAAAAAAUCCUAACUUGGUAAAUUUUUCUUUCUAUUUAUUAGUCUUUUGGAAGAUUGAUUGUUUUGCAAGUUAGCUUUUGACUAACUGACUUUUGGCAAAUCAGUCUGUUUCUGAGGAGUCAGUCCAGUCAGUUGGAGGUCUGAAACUUUGACCUUUCAGUGCUGCUGCUGCAGAUCUUAAGCCCAGCUAGCCCAUCCCUCUGCAGCCAGGCAGAGCAUCCUUGAGCCAGCUCAACCCCUGGAAAAGAGAGAGCAGUAGAUGGGAAGACAGCUUGUGUUGGAUCUAAUCCUCACCUUGCACACCCUGAGUGAAAAGGAUUUUGAGGAAUCUUUCUCCUUAAGUCUAGCAGGAAUUUAGUGACCUUUGAAGCAGAGCCAAGCAGACACAAGCUUCUGGGAAACUUGAUCCUCUUGCAAGCCUCUGAAGCCCUUUCCACCAGCCCUCAAACACCGUUGCUCCCAUAGUACGCUGCUGGCAUUUUUAGAAAACUUCCCAUGCUAGCGCAAUAGUGAAAAGGCACCCUGAGGCCAGGAAAGACAAGGGAAGUGGGCUUGUCUUUGGAGAAAGCACCCGCUGACCCAGCUUCUCUUGGACACUCCGAGGUCCAGUUACACAGUUUACCACAGUUGGCUGCCCACCAGGACAAAGGCUGGCUGAGAAAAGGGCGGACGUCUGUCCCAGGGAUUUGGCCACAUGUUCAAAAUCCUCCCAAAGUUCACUCAUCUGGCUAGGACUUCUUGAGCUUUGCCCGGGUUGUGCAGCUUAUCUUUGAUGCACACUGGCCUCUGACGCCUACAGCUCAGGUCUGCAAUGUCCAGCUACUCAUUGCUACAGCCCCAGGCCCCCCACAGUGGCAGAUUUGGUGGAGAGGCUCAGAAAACCUUCACAGAUGGAUGGUGGCCUUGAAAGGCACGCCACCAGCAGGGUGCCUCCUUCCCUCCCCUCACUACUGGCUACUUUGUCAUAACUGAGGACUUUCUCAGAUCAGUUCCAGGGUGUAGGGAAUGACAAAGCACGAUUUCUCAUUCCUGUAAUGUGGUCUAUUUCCUGGUGGUGGUACUGCCCAUCAUGCCCUUGAAUGUGCUAUUCUGUUAGCCAAGAAUGCCCUCUCCUCCUUGUCUGUUAGAUUGUCUGAACUUAUUCUAUAACACCCAGCUCAAAGGUCACUUUCUCCGGAGAAAGCUUCCCAGGCGCACCAGGCUCGAUGACUUGGAAUUGUAACGGCGCAAUAUCAGUCUCCAUACCGUAGAACCUUUCAAGACAGGAAGAAACUUCCUCCUUUCCCAGCUCCCAGGAUGAGAUGACCACAACUCACUGUAGAAAAUCCCCGCAGUUCUGCUGACAAGUGGAGUGCGUCAGAAGGUCCCCGGACAGCUUUGCUGGCUCGUCUGCUUCUGGUGCCACUUCCUGCUCUUCUUCAUGAGAAUUAUUUGUAAGGAGACAGUCACAUUAAAAAAAAAGAUUCGAU